UCCCUGGUGACUCAGUUGGUAAAGAAUCUGCCUGCAAAGCAGGAGAUGCAGGUUCAAUCCUUGGUUUGGGAA
rnacentral:tRNA from 1 species